UAGACGAAGCGACGCCGUGUGAACGAAGAAGGCCUUCGGGUUGUAAAGUUCUUUCGCCUGGGAACAAGAAAUAAGGGAUAAUACCCCUUAAAUUUGAGGGUACCAAGUAAAGAAGCACCGGCUAACUCCGUGCCAGCAGCUGCGGUAAUACGGAGGGUGCAAGCAUUAAUCGGAAUUAUUGGGCGUAAAGGGCGCGUAGGCGGAAUUGUAAGUCAGAUGUGAAAUAUCGAGGCUCAACCUCGAUGCUGCAUUUGAAACUACAAAUCUUGAGGGUAGACGGAGAAAACGGAAUUCCACGUGUAGCGGUGAAAUGCGUGGAUAUGUGGAAGAACACCUGUGGCGAAAGCGGUUUUCUAGUUUAUUCCUGACGCUGAGGCGCGAGAGUAAGGGGAGCAAACAGGAUUAGAUACCCUGGUAGUCCUUGCCGUAAACGAUGUAUACUUGAUGUAGUUGGACUCAACCCCGACUGUGUCGUAGCUAACGCGUUAAGUAUACCGCCUGAGGAGUACGCUCGCAAGGGUG
rnacentral:rRNA from 1 species